AUCCUUUUUGUAGUUGGUAAGUGUGAUGAUUGGGUUUGAGAUGUGCCUUCCUUAAACCUUGUUACAAAUGUAUUGCUUACAUUACACCAUCGUAAUGUGAAA